UGACUACCUUUCCCUUUCAUUGACCAUUUUCCACGACCAUGGUUGCGAUCCAUUACUUGCUUCUAUUGUAUAUCUUUAGUCUCUGCGGUUGGUAGUGAGCAGGCUUAUUUUUAAAUGGUGCUGCCGAGUCCAGCUAAUUAAUGGUGCAGGUGGAUUUUUAGCAAGCUGGCUCACUGGAACAGACUAAACCGGGCAUGGAAUUCUUGAAGAUGUUUGGGGGCUUAUCUUUAUUAAUUGAAGGUUAACAUUCUCUGAAAUUUUGUUAUGACUUCGGCUGAACUUCAAAAUCAGUAGAUUUGGAAGUGUUUCAGUGCUUACUUUUUUCCUGGCCUGCUUUGUAUUCUAUUUGCUUGCAAGUGUGUUACUAAGAUGGCCAAGAUGCCAGUUAUUGCUUCUUUGUUAAUUGUCAGCUGCUUUUAUCAAAUUCCAGGCCAUUAUCCAGCAAACACUAUAGAAAUGUUUGAACAGUUGUAUUUCAAACAUUUUCUCUUUGUGGAGUGGUGCUUACCAGUGGUACAGCUCUAAGCAAGUGAACAUAAAUACAUAUAAGUGUAUUUCGUCUGGUUAGGUGUUCACCUGUUUUGUUAUUUCAUACAAAUGUCUGAGAAAAUCAAUUGACUAUUCCUUUUACGUAAAGGGCAGAGACAAAUGAUCUCACUUCCAGAGAAAGGACUGUUUUAGAGAAAAAUGUGUUGGUCUUUUAGCUCCUUUGUUGUUAUCUGGAUGUACCUCAAAAGAAUCUUAAGACUGUGGUGAUCUUAGAAGAUGCUUUCCUCAGGAGAAAAGAGGAAAAAAAACAACUGGAACUCAAAGCUUGAAAUUCUGUAACAAAACAUGAGAUGUCCAGGAUAGGAGGCCGAAAAGAUUUCACUACAGUGUUCUGCACUAGCUGCAGCAGAUGCUUUUCUGUGUAGCCACGGCAUGGACUCCAGAUUUCCAGAUUUUCAAGAACUGCACCUGGGACCUGAAGAGCUCAUCAGGAUGUGACAGGGACUCUGGAGCUGAACAUACUUGUUUUUGAAUCUGGGGGCUGUUGACCUUGAUUUGAGAAGAGACAACAAUGGAGCAAGCACUGCCACCAGCGCUAUUACUGGGAAUUUGAAGACCUGAGUUUCUGCCAGAGCUUCAUUGCAAGUUCUAGUGAUGCUCCAUCCAAAGUGAACUACGUCCUGUGCCUCCUGAUGGCUGAGUGUUCACCUGGACCUUCUGACCACCUUCCUUGUACUGUUCCAUCAGCCUAUAGAUCUGGUACCUGGAUUUUUGCCCAUGGUGAUUCCUUCACCUUACUGCUGAAGAAGACACCAUUCCAGUGGACCACGGUGAUCCAAGAGGCAUUCAACCAUCAUGAUGUGGCCUUCACCUCCACUCCUGUCCUGUUCUACCCAGAUUCAGCACAGCCCUUUAUAGUGAAGUCAAACUAUUCAAGCCAGAUAGCUGAAGCUAUUUUAUCACAGCAAAAGGCCCAGUUUGUUCCAUGAGUGUGCAUUUCGUUUCUUCAGUUAAAGCCUUCAGAGACACAUAAUAAAUUUGGACCAGGGGAUUUUUAGUUAUCAACACUGAAGAAUGGUAACAUCUUUCAAGAACGACGUUGGAUCAUGCCCCACAAUUUCGAAUGAUUGAAAUUCGUGAAGUGUCUAGGGUCCUAUCCAGAUCACGGGACCCUAUUCUUUUUCCACUUCAAGUCUGUAGUAGCCUACUGAAUAGAAAGCAGAUAUAAUGACCAGCAGAUACUGGAAUUAAAACAAAGGCACAGUGAACUCACAGCAUCUUUGGGAUUACUCAGGAACCAGAACUUUUCACACAAAUGUAAGAAAUUCUACCAAGGAAUCCCUUUAUCUAACAGCAUCUCACAAAGCUCCAAUCAGAUUCCAGAAAAGGCCUCUUGAUACAUCCAGGUAGAACCUAUCAUGGUAAUCCCUUAUGUUUAUAUAGCACUUUAUAGUUUCAAAGCACUUUUACAUGCAUAAAUCUCAAUUAUCAAAACAACACAAUAGAUUAUAAUUUCUUUUUGCAAAUGAGGAAAUUGAAGUUUAAAGGUUAUCCAAGAUGACAUAGCUACGAAGUGAUAAAGGUCAGGCCUUCUGACUCCCAGUCCAGUUCUCUCCAUGGAAUUAAUUUAGCCUCUACUUUACCUGCAGUGUUAAAAUGACUGGAGUUUGGUAACCCCAGAAAAGUUUCCCACUUCCUGAUCUGGUGCCCUCAGUCAGUCAGGAUGUCAUAAGUGUAAUUUUAUGAUGGCUCCAUCUAAGCCAGAAUUCCAUGGCACUUACCCCUAAGGUUUAAGAGCAGAUUGUCUCCUUAGUGGUAGAUUUAUCCAGUCAACAUGGCACAUGGUCAUCUGACAGUAAGACUACACCACAUGAAACACAAAGCUACUUCUAGAUCCGUUGUUCACAUAGUCUUCUCACGUUCCCAAAUGGCCUGAUUGGAAAUCCCUUUUCAUGUUUUGUUCUUUGUAAAAUUUUUUAAAAAGUUUUAUUAGUACUCUUGGACACUGAGAUCUUAUCUAAGGUCCUCUAUCCCUCAAAAUUUACUUAAAAUGGAUCCUCUAUUUCUUUAGAGCAGUGCUGUUCACAUAUGUGUGUAUGCAUGUAUAUGGUGCAUGCAUACAACAUCUAUAUGUAGAGCUUGUGUAGUCUUGUAAGGUGGUAAAAUACGUGUUCCCUUCCCAAUUGAGUGUAGCAUAUUAAAGGAUCUCAGAAGACUUGCAACAAAGAGCCUCAUUGAGCUAUUUAGCCUAGUGUGUAGUAAGUUUAAUCAAGGACAGACUGUUCUUUUGGGAGCAUUCCUUUUAAUAGAGAAACUGCUUUGGAGCAGUAUAGCCAGUGCUUCCUGAUUGCCCUGAAGACUCAGGAGUAAAUGGAAUCUUUGAAACCACCACCCUCUUUUCUUACUUUUGUCAAUAACUGCUUGAAUUUAUAUGUCUUUAUCAUCUGAGAGUCCUACAUCUUGACCAUUACCUCUUAUUUUCUGUGAAAGGAACCUCUAGAAGGUUUGUGGGGAUAUGUGGGAAGAGAAUGGGGAAAAGUUUAUUUUGCCCCCAAAUUGGUUGAAUUCCAUGACAUUUAACAACAUAUUUUUCUGUCCCUAAAAUUGUGCUGUAAACCUAGUUUAAGGGCAUUGUAUCUCAGGUGGGUGAGGAGAUUGGGAAGGGAAGGGAGGAGGAAAAGGAUGGUGGGAGAAAAGGGGGAAGAGAAUAAUAUUUUCAUAGAAUUUGAGUUGUGGCCCAUUGAGAUCUUCAAAGAUCUUGAAGAGAAGUCAUCUAGCCAUGGACUUGGGAUAAUACUUGCAAAGAAAUGAAAGCAUUUUGCAGCUGUAUGCUGACUGCAAAAAUCCCAGUGCUAUUGUCACUUAAAACCAAUAGCCCUGUUCACUGAUAGUCACAAACCCAAUUUGAGGCAAUCAGAAUUUAUAGCAGAGUUGAAUGUUAACUUCAUCAUUCUGUAAUGUGGUCCGUAUUAAGGAAAGAAUGAAUAGGAAAACACCUUGGCUUACCACAGGCUUUGCUCACAGUUUCUGGUUUCUGUGACCUAUUUUUUGUAUUUCAGCAUUUUGUGAACAACUUAUUCUUAGAUCAUUGGUUUUCCAAAGGCUUUGUGACCAUGAAGCCCUUUCAAUGAAAACUAUGUGGAAGCCCAGAAUAAAAGAGAAGCUGCUGUAGAUGAAGCAGGAGUGGGGGGCCUGAAACCUGCCACAAGCAUCUUCCUUUACCACCAUGGUGACCCCUAAGGAGACUUCUUUACAACACCUAGAAUUCUUCAGAACACAGUUUGAAAACCACUGCCCUAGACAACAUGUGCAACCUGAAUGGCAUUCUGAUCUGUACCUCUACCCAACCCAGUCCAUGUUCAGUUGAUGCUGCACAUUCUUAGGAAUGCUUACUGUGGGCAAAGUCAGAAAAGUGCAAGAAGAUGGGCAUAUCUUUGCCACCCCAGGGUAGUCAAGUGGGCUGAAAGUGAUAUCAAAUGGACCUAGAUUAACAGCCCUGUACCCCCAGAUGGAUUUCAAAUGAGUGAUUCCUGGCAUUCAAUAUAGUCAGAGAGCAAUGCAUACGUACUCUACACUGACACACUCCCUUACCCAACUUCUAUCACAAACACCACAUGCUCUAGUGGUACUUGAAAUACAUAACUUUGAAGUCUUGAUCUCCUGGAUACCUGAAUCGCCAGGUAUUGAAGCUGGUACUAAAGUUGAUGAUGCCUCGUUGAGGCCAUAUAAGACCAACUUGUACAUUGGACCUCCCAUCAUCAGCCAUGGUACUCUACUUCGUGUGCAAGGGAUAACCAUUAACUAUGAAAGCAGAACUGAAAUUCUGGCAACAUUACCUAAAAAGGUACCUGGUUAUUCAUGUUAUUCUCAAAACUGCAAGUCACUAUGACUCAACCAGUGGCAGUUACACUGCUCCUUGGUUUUUAUUCAGUUUAACUGCUGUUUCCAGGAUAAAUGAGGUAAUAACCUUAAAAAACAAAAUUUCCUCCAUCACUGGCAUAUCUGCUCCAAAAUUAUGAAUAUUCUGCUCUAACUACAGGUAACAUCUGGUCCACAAGAGACAAUUUUUGAACAUCCUCUGAUGUAUGUGAUUUUAAAUGUGACCCUUUGGAAGAUUUUCUUCUAACCAAUGAGAGAUGUUCUUUUAUGAUGGACCUUUUGAUGUCAGGUACCAUCAACUACAGGUGUUAGGAUUAUUUGGAGGUAGACCUUUUGACCAGGCCAUGGAGCUUGCUUGCUGGGCAUCUCAAGUUGCAUAUCUACCUUUUUGCUGAAAAUGUAGACUGACUUGAAAAAAAAUCUACAAAGCCUGCAGCUAAGAAUUUUAUCAGUAGACUCAAGAGCUUCCUGCAGCUUCUUCCUAAUGUCACAAGACCACAGUGUCUUGUCCUUGUGGAUAUUUUAAUGGAAUUUCAUCUGUCUCAAUAUUGUUUUACACUGAUUCAGAGUGGCUGACUUCAUUCCUUGCUAUGAGAUACUCUCAGGCAUUAAGACACUUAUCUGUUUCUGCAGGAUGGAUUCAAUUCAUGAACUCCCAGACCAGAUCAUGUCAAACAAGUAGACUUCGAUUUUUGUCAUGAGACAAAUCUGAUUCUCUUACUUCACAGUCUACUUAAGGGGCAGCUGUCCUCAACUACUUUAAUGAAUGCACUGGUUAAAUGUUGGGAAUGAUUUCUUUGUAUCUUUGUCUCUUACUCUUUAGACUAACCCUGAUUACAUGACUCUGUCUACAAAUCAUCAAACAAGGCCUGCACAUCCUCAACUAAUAAAAAUCUAAUGACUAGCUGCUUGUAUAUACAACUAUUGUUUGUUAAUAAGAAGUUGUCUACAGACUCCAUUUUUCUACUACCUUCAAAACAUCAGCUCAAUUUUCUCUUUCUCCUGUACAUUACAGAAAAAGACAUUGAUCUACACUGCCAGUCAUUCCCUUUAAUCCUGUCAAAAUGAGGGGCUUAAGGUGAGGAUGAUCAUCUGUUCAAGAGUCUAAUAUACUCUGUGUAUAAGAAUUGAUAGUUGAAAAUGCAGAAAGCCUAAAACUGAAACCUAGGAUCUUACCUACUAUCUCCCUGCUUCAGAUCUCAAUAUAAGUCUCAGCAGCACCACCCACCAAUCUAAGGCCUUGUUUAUAAGCUGAUUCUCAGAGAUGGACUGAGUUUCAGAAGGUGGAGACUUGAUUACCAAAGAGAGUAGGGCCAACCUUGAUGAAUCUGGCUCUCCCAACCUUGUCAUUCCCAGAUGUAGCAUAGACUCCUCAACAGAACCUCAAGUCUGAAUUGAGAAUAUAGCCUUCUACUGAGCUGAAAGUUCCUGGGCAGAUAAACAGGAAAAUUAAAGCUGCUAUACCUGACUGGCCCUUUAAGAUCAGAAAAUGGUAUCCAGAGUCAACCCUAUGGAAUAACCCUGGAGGACUCAGGGUAAAAGCUAAUUUACAGAGCUUUGAUAUUAAUCUGCCCAUUCUUCCAGAUCACAUCCUGGCUAUUGGUGUGGCUAGCCCUGCUGAAGGUACUCUAUUUACCUGUUUACCUGACUCAGCCCUCGUCUGCCUUUUUUGACACGUUGCAAUCAGACCGGCUGUGCUUGAGAAGACUACAACUGGUAUCAGCCUAUCUUACACCCAGUUCCACCAGGGAAUUUUGAACAGAAGCAACCUGCACCUCACCUCCCCCCCAGCCCCCAGGACUUAACUGUUCAUAACUGGAAGGACCAUGCUAUGUACUCCUUGACCAGCAGCCUCUUUUUGUUUGUUUGUUUUGUUUUGUUUUUAAUGCAGAGUAAGCCUCUAUGCCUAUAUAUAUUUGAUCAUUUUCAGCACCUGAGAUCCUUUCUACCCAAUCUGAAGGAGUACAGCAGAUUACAAGCUCUGUCCAUUCCUCUUUUCUGCAAUAAUAGAUGACAGAAAUGUUCCAGUUCAACUUGGGAAAAGACUAAAGAAACACAAGAGCUUUCCACUGAACUUAAAAUUUACCACUGACUUCAGUAGUCUCACAGAACUAUUUGCCAGUGGGAGGCUAGUUGUCCUGCUUCAUGUCAGCAAGAUGGUUGGGCUGUCAGAUUCAUGGCCACUGAGUUUUACUUUUAUUGAAACUUUAUUGCAUCAUCCAAAGUAUGCUAUUGGAUAUGAUUAUUCCAUUCAAAUGGAUUACAAGCUUCCUGAGUACAGGACAAACUUACUCAUGACGUUUUUUCAGAAUACUUUUAUUGUCAAGAAAGUAACAAUGCCAGCUGUUACUGAACACAGACUAAACUUUUUUAGUAUCUGGUCUUAUCAUUGGCAUCAGUUGUUUUUGAUUGACCAGCAUUCAUUCUAUCUCAUUGUAACAACUCUGAUGUUUCUUGGAACCACUUCCCUGUUUCUAGUCCACAUGGUUCAAACAGUCUGGCCUAACUUUAAGCUUCUUGGGUGGACAUGUAAUUCAGACCUGAUCAAUCAGCAUGGUCCAUCUCCUUCACCAUAGUAAUUGGUUCUGGAAUGGCCGUGUGAUUCAAGCUGGUCCAGUGAUACUCAGCCCUAGGAGUUUUACCGAACUGUGGAGGAGAGGCUCAGGAGCUCUCUUUACUGAGAUUGCUUGACUUUGUAUAUGAAAAGUUCUAACCAACAGGGCCCACCAUAUCAAAUGAGCCAGAGAAUGAAGCCAGUGCAAAGGAAAGCAGAGCCAAAUGAUGGAGAGACUUGAGUCCUGAUGACAAUGUUUAUGCCCCUGGAUCCAACCGUGCCUGAAGCUAGUUUAUCCCUAUGGACUUUUCAGUUAUGUGAGCCAAUAAAUACCCUUUUUUGCUUUAAGUUA